ACACACUCCAUACAGUCAUGGUAACAUCAAGCACAGUCAGUGAGUCACCACACACACACAAACAUGCACACAUACAGUGAGUAGAGCUAAAGGCUAAUGGCUCCCCAGCUGAGCAGCACUAACGGACAGCCAACGGCUUGAAUUAGGAAGUCUUUCUCCAUUCUCACUCCCCAUGCUGAAAGCUCGACUCUUGGGAUGAGACCUCCUGCAUUCCGCCGGUGUGGCCUGAAGCUCUUCUAAGCUCUGAGAGAUCUAGCUCUUCAUACACUUGAGAGUGUCUGUGUCCAUAUACCUUCAUGUCUCUGACAACUAGCUGGUACACACUGUGGUCAUCAAGACUGAGGUCAUCGGGAAGUGCUGGAGAUGACGACUUGUCCGA